rnacentral:rRNA from 1 species
CCUACGGGGAGCAGCAGUGAGGAAUAUUGGUCAAUGGACGAGAGUCUGAACCAGCCAAGUAGCGUGAAGGAUGACUGCCCUAUGGGUUGUAAACUUCUUUUAUAAAGGAAUAAAACGAGGUACGUGUGCCUUUUUGCAUGUACUUUAUGAAUAAGGAUCGGCUAACUCCGUGCCAGCAGCCGCGGUAAUACGGAGGAUCCGAGCGUUAUCCGGAUUUAUUGGGUUUAAAGGGUGCGUAGAUGGGUUGUUAAGUCAGUUGUGAAAGGUUGCGGCUUAACCGUAGAACUGCAAUUGAUACUGGCAGUCUUGAGUGCAGAUGAGGUAGGCGGAAUUCGUGGUGUAGCGGUGAAAUGCUUAGAGAUCAGGAAGAACCCCGAUUGCGAAGGCAGCUUACUAAACUGUAACUGACGUUGAGGCACGAAAGUGUGGGGAGCAAACAGGAUUAGAUACCCUAGUAGUC